AACGAACGCUGGCGGCAUGCCUAACACAUGCAAGUCGAACGAACCCUUCGGGGUUAGUGGCGCACGGGUGCGUAACGCGUGGGAAUCUGCCCUUAGGUACGGAAUAACAGUGAGAAAUUACUGCUAAUACCGUAUGAUGUCUUCGGACCAAAGAUUUACCGCCUAGGGAUGAGCCCGCGUAGGAUUAGCUAGUUGGUGAGGUAAAGGCUCACCAAGGCUACGAUCCUUAGCUGGUCUGAGAGGAUGAUCAGCCACACUGGGACUGAGACACGGCCCAGACUCCUACGGGAGGCAGCAGUGGGGAAUAUUGGACAAUGGGCGAAAGCCUGAUCCAGCAAUGCCGCGUGAGUGAAGAAGGCCUCGGUUGUAAGACUCUUUACCCGGGUAAGAUAAUGACCGUAUCGGGAGAAUAAGACUCCGGCUAACUCCGUG
rnacentral:rRNA from 1 species